CGGCGGACGGGUGAGUAACACGUGGAUAACCUACCUAUAAGACUGGGAUAACUUCGGGAAACCGGAGCUAAUACCGGAUAAUAUAUUGAACCGCAUGGUCCAAUAGUGAAAGACGGUUUUGCUGUCACUUAUAGAUGGAUCCGCGCCGCAUUAGCUAGUUGGUAAGGUAACGGCUUACCAAGGCAACGAUGCGUAGCCGACCUGAGAGGGUGAUCGGCCACACUGGAACUGAGACACGGUCCAGACUCCUACGGGAGGCAGCAGCU
rnacentral:rRNA from 1 species